UACGGGGGGGGGCGAGCGUUGUCCGGAUUUAUUGGGCGUAAAGAGCUCGUAGGCGGUUCGGUAAGUCGGAUGUGAAAUCUCCACGCUCAACGUGGAGGGGCCAUUCGAUACUGCCGUGACUCGAGUCCGGUAGGGGAGUGUGGAAUUCCCGGUGUAGCGGUGAAAUGCGCAGAGAUCGGGAGGAACACCCGUAGCGAAGGCGGCACUCUGGGCCGGUACUGACGCUGAGGAGCGAAAAGCGUGGGGAGCGAACAGG
rnacentral:rRNA from 1 species